AAAUAAAGAAGGAAGAUGCAUAUGUCGAUUCCAGUGGCAUAUGUCGCGUUCCUCUGAAUGAAUAAAGACCCAAAUAAACUACUGCAUUUUGUGCCACCCCUUUUCCUUUCCUUCUCCACCUUUCAGGUUCCUAAAGAAUUAAAAGAUGGGACUGGCUCUGGGUUGUCUUCAAGUGGAGCAAUCAACAGUAGCUAUCAAAGAAGUCUUUGGCAAACAUGAUGAUGGGCUUGAACCUGGUUUCCACUGUGUGCCAUGGUUCUUUUGCACUCAAGUGGCCGGUUACCUUUCUUUGCGUGUGCAACAGCUAGAUGUUCGCUGCGAAACCAAGACAAAGGACAAUGUUUUUGGUGACCCAAUACUUUGGCACGUUGAAGGAGAUCGGUGCGUCCUCAAAAUCCAAUUCGGUUUUUGUUCCACAUGGACCAGGUGCUGUGAGAGAUAUUGCUUCACAAUUUAGAGAUAGUCUUCUUCAAGGAAAGGUGGCUCAGUCAUGAAAUCACACACAUUACAUUACUUGAACUAUAUGAAUCUAUCUUCUAGACUCUAACGACAUAUAUACAUUUUAAUUUUGUCUGAGUGUUAAGUUUGAACUAAUUCGGUAUGUUAAUAUCCCUUUCCAUAUCAUCCAUUGUCUCUCUAUCCAUAUCCUCUUUUUUUGAGUUGAGAAUAGCCAAACAUUAUACUCUUACUUUUUUUCCUUUGAAAUAAACAUAAUGGUGUUCGAAUUUGCUU